AUACGUAGGGUGCAAGCGUUAAUCGGAAUUACUGGGCGUAAAGCGUGCGCAGGCGGUUCGGAAAGACGGAUGUGAAAUCCCAGGGCUCAACCUUGGAACUGCAUUCUUAACUACCGAACUAGAGUAUGUCAGAGGGGGGUAGAAUUCCGCGUGUAGCAGUGAAAUGCGUAGAUAUGCGGAGGAAUACCGAUGGCGAAGGCAGCACCCUGGGAUAAUACUGACGCUCAUGCACGAAAGCGUGGGUAGCAAACAGGAUUAGAUACCCUGGUAGUCCACGCCCUAAACGAUGUCAACUAGCUGUUGGGCCCUUCGGGGCUUAGUAGCGUAGCUAACGCGUGAAGUUGGCCGCCUGGGGAGUACGGUCGCAAGAUUAAAACUCAAAGGAAUUGACGGGG
rnacentral:rRNA from 1 species